AUCGCUUCUUGGCGUUUUGGCUAAGAUCAAGUGUAUGUUUAUCCUCACAACAUGAUAUAUACAUAUUUGGGUGUGUGCAUGUGUAUGUAUUUAUACACCUGUGAAUACACAUAUUUUACUAUGAAUUUACAAGUCAGUCAUUUAAUAAUGAAUAUUUC
ensembl:snRNA U2 U2 spliceosomal RNA